rnacentral:rRNA from 1 species
GGAGUUUGGGCCGUGUCUCAGUCCCAAUGUGGCCGAUCACCCUCUCAGGUCGGCUACCGAUCGUCGACUUGGUGGGCCGUUACCUCACCAACUAUCUAAUCGGACGCGAGCCCACCCUUCACCGGAUUGCUCCUUUGACCCCUGAGCCAUGUGACUCUGUGGUCUUAUGCGGUAUUAGUACAACUUUCGCUGUGUUAUCCCCCUCGUGAAGGACAGGUUGCUCACGCGUUACUCACCCGUCCGCCGCUAAAACAUACAUCUUUGACUCCAUCCGAAAACUUCAUCUCCGUCGCAUGUCUCCGCUCGACUUGCAUGUGUUAGGCACGCCGCCAGCGUCGUCCUGAGCACUGAUCAAACUACU